CCCCGAUUAGCUACUUGUAAAUCGUGCCUGCGCUAGCGCAGAGAGGUAGCUUGCUACUGAUCUUAGCGGCGGACGGGUGAGUAAUGCUUAGGAAUCUGCCUAUUAGUGGGGGACAACAUUUCGAAAGGAAUGCUAAUACCGCAUACGUCCUACGGGAGAAAGCAGGGGAUCUUCGGACCUUGCGCUAAUAGAUGAGCCUAAGUCGGAUUAGCUAGUUGGUGGGGUAAAGGCCUACCAAGGCGACGAUCUGUAGCGGGUCUGAGAGGAUGAUCCGCCACACUGGGACUGAGACACGGCCCAGACUCCUACGGGAGGCAGCAGUGGGGAAUAUUGGACAAUGGGCGCAAGCCUGAUCCAGCCAUGCCGCGUGUGUGAAGAAGGCCUUAUGGUUGUAAAGCACUUUAAGCGAGGAGGAGGCUACUUUAGUUAAUACCUAGAGAUAGUGGACGUUACUCGCAGAAUAAGCACCGGCUAACUCUGUGCCAGCAGCCGCGGUAAUACAGAGGGUGCAAGCGUUAAUCGGAUUUACUGGGCGUAAAGCGCGCGUAGGCGGCUAAUUAAGUCAAAUGUGAAAUCCCCGAGCUUAACUUGGGAAUUGCAUUCGAUACUGGUUAGCUAGAGUGUGGGAGAGGAUGGUAGAAUUCCAGGUGUAGCGGUGAAAUGCGUAGAGAUCUGGAGGAAUACCGAUGGCGAAGGCAGCCAUCUGGCCUAACACUGACGCUGAGGUGCGAAAGCAUGGGGAGCAAACAGGAUUAGAUACCCUGGUAGUCCAUGCCGUAAACGAUGUCUACUAGCCGUUGGGGCCUUUGAGGCUUUAGUGGCGCAGCUAACGCGAUAAGUAGACCGCCUGGGGAGUACGGUCGCAAGACUAAAACUCAAAUGAAUUGACGGGGGCCCGCACAAGCGGUGGAGCAUGUGGUUUAAUUCGAUGCAACGCGAAGAACCUUACCUGGCCUUGACAUAGUAAGAACUUUCCAGAGAUGGAUUGGUGCCUUCGGGAACUUACAUACAGGUGCUGCAUGGCUGUCGUCAGCUCGUGUCGUGAGAUGUUGGGUUAAGUCCCGCAACGAGCGCAACCCUUUUCCUUAUUUGCCAGCGAGUAAUGUCGGGAACUUUAAGGAUACUGCCAGUGACAAACUGGAGGAAGGCGGGGACGACGUCAAGUCAUCAUGGCCCUUACGGCCAGGGCUACACACGUGCUACAAUGGUCGGUACAAAGGGUUGCUACCUAGCGAUAGGAUGCUAAUCUCAAAAAGCCGAUCGUAGUCCGGAUUGGAGUCUGCAACUCGACUCCAUGAAGUCGGAAUCGCUAGUAAUCGCGGAUCAGAAUGCCGCGGUGAAUACGUUCCCGGGCCUUGUACACACCGCCCGUCACACCAUGGGAGUUUGUUGCACCAGAAGUAGCUAGCCUCUCUGUAAGUAGGUACGAAGCAAGGAGAGUGGCCCC
rnacentral:rRNA from 1 species